GACUGUUUUUCAGUUCUGAUUAGACAUUAGUGUUGAGAUGUCUGUCUGUCAUGAUAGCAUGUACUGACUCGGGGCCAGUACCAGAUAAGCACAUUAAACUAUAAUCCAUAAACGUAAGGUAACAACUGAGACCUAAUGGUGCUGUGACAGCAACACGAUUGAGUUUGAGACAGUGAAAAUACAUAUGGUAUGUUGUAUCUGAACAGGUUAGCUUACAAGCUAAAGUUACUUAGCACAGAUGAAAGUUAAAACAAAGACGUUUAGCAAACUGUUAAAGCACACAAACCAUCGUCAUAUGAGAAAUCCAACGCUAUGACUCUCCACAAGUUGUCCUUCAGGUCGUUAUCUUUGUAAUGUUUGUGUCUUUUAUCAAAAAGCACUCUGUUCUCUGACACGUAAACAAGCAGCCAGUCGGCCAUGUUGGAUAUACCGGUGAAUCUGAUGAAAUCUGAUUGGUCAGAAGUGGACGCACAGUAUGCAAAAUUUUAGAAAAAUUGACUGUUAUACGAAAAAAUAAAUGCUGCAACAUCGCAGGAUGGGAAAACAUCGCUGAUGUGAACGCUUGUAUUGACAGGAUACGGGUUCAAAAAAAAAUAUUGACGUCCAAAAUAAUCGCAGGAAAAAAAAGGCUCCCGGUGUGAAAGGACCUUUUGAGUCGUGGAGUAUAAAUGUGAUAAGUCAGGCUUUUGCAGAGUGUUCACUCAUGGUAGAUAAGGGUUGUGUGUCCCUAUAUAACACGAAACCAUGAUCACAGUCUAGACUUUCUAUCUUCUUAAAUGUCCCGUGAUAAAUUCUGCAGUGAUUGGGUGCUACAUGAACAAAAAUUGAAUCGUAUUGAUCCAAACUCAUCAUGGCAGCUGCAUUUUUUUGAGAAAUAUCCUCAUUACAGCACAAUUUACUACAGUUUACGCAGCAUACACUGUCCAUAUUUACAAAGAUGAAAAGCUGUGUUUUUCUCAGUGUGUACGCGCGCAUGUGUGUCUGUGUGUGUUUGUGUGUGUGGCCCCUAACUCGACCAUGUGCUAACCCCACACAGCUGCAGAGUCUCCCUUGAGGGUUUGUCGCACAGGCAACAGAGGAAGAGCGGAGGAGGAGGAGGAGGAGGGGGGGACAGGGACUCUCAUUUCCAUGCGGCACUGUUCUGGCAAAGACAUUGUACACCGCUGUGGAUGUGCGUCUCUCGUGCUAUUGCUCAAUCUUUUUAGGCCUGUCAGUUAGGGUUUUCAUCAGCCAAUUCUCCGGGCGCCGAGGUUGGAAAGCUGAUUGUGUACUUCAGUGUGGCAAAUGUGUUAACGCAUGUAUACAGGAGAUACAGACAGAGACAAGAGGACACUUCAGGGGGGAUUAUGAGCUACGAAAUCUGAUUGUUUUCAUCUUGUCUUAUCUCAAAUAUGAAAGUAGACGCCGUAAAUUACGUCAACGUGUCUCUUCUUUUGCGUAAUCUGAAUGGAAAGGUUUAUUGUAAUAGGAUUUGUAAGUUAACGGCUUCAUAAAACUACCCUUAUCAGUUUUUUUUUUUUAACCAAGCCCAGAGUCCAGCCUGAAACCUGUAAUGGAGAAACCGAGGAGUCUCAGGUUCCUCAAAUAUCCCUGUCAAUCAAACGCCGUUUCCUCUGAGUGCGUUUUCUAUCUGUCAAGGGUCAUAGAGAGUGAGGAUGAGACCCAUUCCCCCCCUCCCCGCACCUCUCCAUCUCCUAUCCCUCCCUCCUCUCCCGCUCCUUAGAGGUGUAUCUCUACCUUGUGCAUCACGUCUGGGCAUGACCUGUUGCUAGGUAACCCUGGGUCACAGCUGCACACUAUGGCAAACCCUUUUUUUUAUUUAUCAGCGAGUUAUGUGGGAGACGGGGGCUGUAAUUUAUUAGUUUGAUAUUGGGCGGCCAGCGCAACUUUGGGAUUGUAAAAAAAGAGGAGACGGCCUAUAGCUCAUCAAAAUGCUUAUUCUGAUCCCCGGGCCUCGGUCAGCUCAAGAGAUUCACAACAGAGGGGAUCACAACAUUAUAAAUUCAUCCGCUUUUUUACUAAGAAAAUCAAGCAUCUUCAACAACAAAGCCAAUGGUAAUGCACUUUCCAUGCUGGUAAUUGAACAGAUGUGGUCAGAGCUUAGAGGGCCGAGAAAAAGGAAAAUUCAUCUCAGUACAGUAUGUGACUGAUUCAUGUCCAAGGAUGAAGUGGGCGCAGGCAAAAUAGCGUUAGCUGGCUUUGUAGUCACGACAGAGAUAACCCUCCACCAGAAACUUCAAUCCGGGCUUUUAGGUUAACACAUAUGGUACACUGAAGAGACAUGAAGGUAUGAUACAACCCCCCCAAAAAAGAGUGUCCAACUCUAUAAAAUGUCAAUAUUGAAGCAUUUAAUGCAUGGCUAUAUAGCAAUCUUUAUAAGUCACUUGUGAGUCCAUGUGGUGAUUUCCACUAUAGAGUCAUGUCCAUCCAGGAUUGGGUUUUUUGGCGUUCUGUCAAAGCUCCCGUUUUUUUUUUUUUUUUUUGGCACCCCAUUCGGACAAAAAAAGACUGCUUUGUCCACAUGGGGGUGCCAAAAUUGAUACAAAUGCAAAGUUACCCACAGGAGCUUUAACGUUACUGCUAACUUCAACUGAUCUGUUGAAGAAUUAGCAUUUUUGUUAUUGAUGUUUAUGUCUUUGUUAAGCAAUUAACAGGUAAUUUCAAUUUUGGAAAAACUGUGCCCCCCUCUGGAAAGGGUACCUCACAGUCCUCCCUGACAGCCCGGCAGUAAAGGUCCUCAGACACCGGCGACGCAAAUACACGACGCAAAAUUACAAAAUAUUCUGAGGUGAAUUUUGACGCGCCUGACUUUAACCUCCUAAGACCUGGCGUCCACAUGUGUGGACAUCACAUUUUUGGUUGUCAAGACCACAAUAUUAAAUUUUGUUCACAAGGGCCUUCUCUCAAAAUUUAAAACGAAUGUCUUCAUAUGUGGACAUCAUUUUUCUCAGAAACUACAUCAUGUUAAAAGAUCAUUCUUUGUUUUUACGCUCAUCAGUUCCCAAUUAGCCUAAAUAUCAAAGAGAAAAUAAAAAUGCAUGCCUUGCAAGAGUUCGGGUCUUAGGAGGAUACACAUCAAGCGCAAUGCGAUUUUGUGUCCUGGGUGGCGGUAAGAAGACUGACACAACAGCAGACUGACUGUUUUUCAGUUCUGAUUAGACUCUAGUGUUGAGAUGUCUGUCUGUCAUGAUAGCAUGUACUGAGUCGGGGCCAGUACCAGAUAAGCACAUUAAACUAUAAUCCAUAAAUGUAAGGUAACAACCGAGACCUAGUGGUGCUGUGACAGUAACGCUGUGAUUGAGUUUGAGACAGUGAAAAUACAUAUGGUAUGUUGUAUCUGAACAGGUUAGCUUACGAGCUAAAGUUACUUAGCGCAGAUGAAAGUUAAAACAAAGACAUUUAGCAAACUGUUAAAGCACAUGAACCAUCGUCAUGUGAGAAAUCCAACGCUAUGACUCUCCACAAGUUGUCCUUCAGGUCGUUAUCUUUGUAAUAUUUGUGUCUUUUAUCAAAAAGCACUCUGUUCUCCGACACGUAAACAAUCAGCCAGUCGGCCAUGUUGGAUAUACCGGUUAAUCUGACGUUGCAACAACACGCAAUCUGAUUGGUCAGAAGUGGACACACAGUAUGUGAAACUUUAGAAAAAUUGACCGUGAU
rnacentral:lncRNA from 1 species